UACGGAGGGUGCGAGCGUUGUCCGGAAUCACUGGGCGUAAAGGGCGCGUAGGUGGCGCGGUCAGUCAACGGUGAAAGUUCGGGGCUCAACCCUGAAUCGGCCGUCGAUACUCCCGGGCUUGAGCACUGUAGAGGCAGAUGGAAUUCCGGGUGUAGCGGUGGAAUGCGUAGAGAUCCGGAAGAACACCGGUGGCGAAGGCGGUCUGCUGGGCAGUUGCUGACACUGAGGCGCGACAGCGUGGGGAGCAAACAGG
rnacentral:rRNA from 1 species